rnacentral:piRNA from 1 species
UGUCAAGAGUAUGUUGAGUAUUGACUGCCA